CCGCGACGCGCAGUCUUUGCUGAUUCAAGAGCGAGAAGACCUUGUAGCUUUACUGGGCGCCGCCAUUUUGGGUGUGUGUCCAGCCGCUCUGGUGAAAUCGGUGAGACUGUUCAUUUUCAACUUAGGAAUUUCACUUACUUUGUACCUUAAAUUAUUUAUGUGCACUUAGUGAAUAUGAAGCUACAAUUUUAGUUGAACAAGCUGGUUUACUGUGUUGUUUAAUGUGUAAACUCAGCUUACUUUAUUUUGCACUUGCAUCAAAACUUUAAUUGUUCUAACGUGCAGCUUAUUGGUGCAGCUUAUCCGGUUGUGUGCAGCCGGUUAUUUUAUUUAGUUAUUUAUGUUUAUAUGCUGAAUUUGAGAGAGAGGCACAGAAAGUAAACACCCACAAUAUGUAUAUCAUUGUGUAUUGUGAAUUUCAUGUAGUGUAUAUUAUUGCAUGAGACUUAAGCAGUGAAUAUUUCUCUGACCCUGUCUGUUGACAAGUCAGGUUUUUUGUUGUGUGUGCGUGUUUCUUCUUCCAUUGUCUGGAUUGGAUCUGCGGAUGAAAAUUGAUGGCGAGCCGUCCCUCUUGAAUGAUUGUGGGAGCCAUUCCCUCUUCAGGAUCACUGGACCUGUCCCGCUACUACUGCACUUUGCGGUGGGGUAGGCCCCACUACAACACAAAACCCCUUAACUCACCUUCACACUCCUUCCCCCACACACAUACAUACACCAACCCUAUGGAACUCUGACUUACCUUCGACACAUCCAUUUUUUGUUUGGACUUUGGACUCUCUUAAACAAACUCACCUGUUCACACCUUGGGACUGAGAAUUUGGAGCUGAGUAGUAGGAAUCAUUCCUGCAGUUAAGGGUUACUGUUGUACUGUGUGAAUUCUACAGGAUUGUAUUAUUGAACUGGAUCUGAACAAACUUGAAUGUGGUGUUAUUAACAGAAAUUCAGGUUUAAAGGGUGCACCCGGGAAUUUAAUUAUAGAACUACUUCAAAGAGUGAAAUACUCAACUAAUACUAAAUUUGGAAAGCAAGCAUUUCAUGCUGAUGUCAUAGCCUGAUUGUGAUAUCAAUAAUCGCCUUAUUCAUUACUUGUUUUAUUAUUGUACUUUUUCAUUUUUGGUACCAACCAAUAUUUUUAUUUUUAUACAUAUCUUCAAAUAUAAGAAGCCGGCAUCAUCUUACAUCUAA